AAUGUUUUAUCAAAAGUCAUAAACUUAGGGUUUAGAGUUAAAGGGUGGGGUUUAGGAUUUAGGGUUUAGGGUUUAGAGUUUAGGGUUUAGGGUUUAGGGUUUAGGGUUUAGGGUUUAAAGUUUAGGGUUUAGGGUUUAGAGUUUAGGGUUUAGGGUUUAGGGUUUAGGGUUUAGGGUUUAAAGUUUAGGGUUUAGGGUUUAGAGUUUAGGGUUUAGAGUUUAAGGUUUAGGGUUUAGAGUUGAGAAAUGAGUUUUUGGGAUAAGAUUUCAAAUUUUGAAAAAUAAAAAGAUUAAAAUUUUCAAAGGAUAAACUUAGAAAUGUGCUAUUUUGG
rnacentral:lncRNA from 1 species